rnacentral:rRNA from 1 species
GAUGAACGCUGGCGGCGUGCUUAACACAUGCAAGUCGAACGGAAAGGCCCUGCUCUUGUGGGGUGUACGUGUGGCGAACGGGUGAGUAACACGUGAGUAACCUGUACCUGACAUACGGAUAACUUCAGGAAACUGGGGCUAAUACCGGAUAGGAUCUCCUGCUGCAUGGGGGGCGUUGGAAAGUUUCGGUGAUUGGGUAUGUACUCGCUGGCUCUCAGCUUGUUGGUCGGGUAGUGGCUUACCAAGGCUUUGCCGGGUAGCCCAACUGGGAGGGUUACCAGCCACAUUAGGACUGCGAUACGGCCCAGAAUCCUACGGGAUGCAACGGUGGAGAAUAUUGCACCAUGAGCCGAAGCCAGAUGCAGCAACUCCGCGUGCGGGAUAACGGCCUUCGGGUUAUAAACCGCUUUCGCCUGUGACGAAGCGUGAGUGACGGUAAUGGGUAAAGAAGCACCGGCUAACUACGUG